UAUACACACAAAGACCUUACUCAACCCUCGUGGGCGCUCCCAAAACCCCCCGAAUGAAACGCAAAACCCUCAAAACACAACGAAGCCCCUCAUCGUCCCUUCCCAGCCCAAAGUCAUGUCUUCCGCCGCCGCCGCCACAGCCGCCAGGUCCGCCCUCCGAUCCACUGCGGCCCGAGCAGCUACGGCGUCGAGGCUCACCGCCGGAGUCGGAGCCAAGGCCAGACCCGCGAGCUCACCGUUUCGCAUCCCAAAACAAAACUCUCUUGCACACCGCAUUUUCAGAUCUCCCGUGGAGAUGAGCUGCUGUGUGGAAACGAUGCUUCCAUAUCACACCGCCACUGCCUCUGCAUUGCUCACCUCUAUGCUCUCCGUCUCUCGCAGCUACGGUUGGACCCCUGAAGGGCAAGAGAAGACUAGAUGAAGAUCAAGCAUCAAAUAUGGAUUUCCUUGGGUUUGUUUUUGUUGUCUACUUUGAAAGUAUUGGUGAAUGUUCUCUUCAGUAGAUUUGGUGAGAAGACCAUCUUAUGAAAAUUCAUGUGGAAAGAUGAGAAAAUGAACACCAUAUAUCAUAGUUUUAUGGAGUUAGAGAAGCAGUAAAAUUCUGCAGGAUUUAACUAGAUCUCCUAGAUAAAUUUAAUUAGCUCGUUGCGCUCUUGAAACAAAAUUAUGCAGUUGCUUCUACAUUUCCUUUCAUGUUGACCAUCAGACUUAUCUUCGACUUUUUUUUUUGUUCAAAGAAGUCCUUCAUGGAUGAGGAAUGAUCAAAAAGCUCCAAACGAUUGCAACGAUGAUGUAUGAUGAAUGUCAGAGGAUUCGAGUGAAGUUUUAAGAACAUGCGCUCUUAAGACAAGGUGGUGAAAUAAAGCUUUUUUUAGUAGGACUUCUAGAUGCUUCUUUGCUUUACAAAGCCAGCCAAGGUGGUGAAGGAAAAUUUUAAUUAUUCAAGUAGGAAGUAACUGGCAACAUUAAUGAGUGCUUACUGAAUUGUGUUUCAAUGAGGCUUUUUGAGAUGGAUGAGUGUUGUUGGGGUGCGGUACAUUGAUCAUAAUUUCCAUGGAUUUCAAUGGACUUUGUAAGACUUGCUUGGGCAUUAUUCUUCUUGACCGGAUUUGAAAAUCAAGGGGUUAAAAGUUGUUCUACAUGCAAUCAUAAGUAGGUACCAAAAAUGAGAUUAGAUUGCUUUUUAUAUUUUCAAACACUAAAUUACAGUGCUAGAGGAAUUCUUUUGUGUGAGUUAUGUUCAGAAACGUUUUUGUUACUUCA